GAUGAACGCUGGCGGCGUGCUUAAUACAUGCAAGUCGAACGGAGAAUUGUAGCAAUAUAGUUCUCAGUGGCGAACGGGUGAGUAACACGUUGGUGACCUGCCCCGAAGUGUGGGAUAACAGUCCGAAAGGAUUGCUAAUACCGCAUGUGGUCAUCGGAUUUGGAAACCGAUGAUUAAAGGAGUAAUCCGCUUCGGGAGGGACCUGCGUCCCAUCAGCUAGUUGGUGAGGUAACGGCCCACCAAGGCUACGACGGGUAAGGGACCUGAGAGGGUGGUCCCUCACAAUGGCACUGAAACACGGGCCAUACACCUACGGGUGGCAG
rnacentral:rRNA from 1 species